rnacentral:rRNA from 1 species
CAGUCGCCACGGUAAUACGAAGGGUGCAAGCGUUACUCGGAAUUACUGGGCGUAAAGUGUGCGUAGGUGGUGGUUUAAGUCCGUUGUGAAAGCCCUGGGCUCAACCUGGGAAUUGCAGUGGAUACUGGGUCACUAGAGUGUGGUAGAGGAUAGUGGAAUUUCCGGUGUAGCAGUGAAAUGCGUAGAGAUCGGAAGGAACAUCUGUGGCGAAGGCGACUAUCUGGGCCAACACUGACACUGAGGCACGAAAGCGUGGGGAGCAAACAGGAUUAGAUACCCCCGUAGUCCCUGUCUCUUAUAC